GACGAAGGACCCAAGCGUUAUCCGGAUUCAUUGGGUUUAAAGGGUGCGUAGGCGGAUUGAUAAGUCAGUGGUGAAAUCUCCGGGCUCAACCCGGAAACUGCCAUUGAUACUGUCGAUCUUGAAUAUGGUUGAUGUGGGCGGAAUAUGACAUGUAGCGGUGAAAUGCUUAGAUAUGUCAUAGAACACCGAUUGCGAAGGCAGCUCACAAAGCCAUUAUUGACGCUGAGGCACGAAAGUGCGGGGAUCAAACAGG
rnacentral:rRNA from 1 species